GGGUUGUGAGGUUAAGCGACUAAGCGUACACGGUGGAUGCCCUGGCAGUCAGAGGCGAUGAAGGACGUGCUAAUCUGCGAAAAGCGUCGGUAAGGUGAUAUGAACCGUUAUAGCCGGCGAUGUCCGAAUGGGGAAACCCAGUGCAAUUCGUUGCACUAUCGUUAACUGAAUACAUAGGUUAACGAGGCGAACCGGGGGAACUGAAACAUCUAAGUACCCCGAGGAAAAGAAAUCAACCGAGAUUCCCCCAGUAGCGGCGAGCGAACGGGGAGCAGCCCAGAGUCUGAAUCAGCUUGUGUGUUAGUGGAACGGUCUGGAAAGUCCGACGGUACAGGGUGAUAGUCCCGUACACCAAAAUGCACAGGCUGUGAACUCGAAGAGUAGGGCGGGACACGUGGUAUCCUGUCUGAAUAUGGGGGGACCAUCCUCCAAGGCUAAAUACUCCUGACUGACCGAUAGUGAACCAGUACCGUGAGGGAAAGGCGAAAAGAACCCCGGCGAGGGGAGUGAAAAAGAACCUGAAACCGUGUACGUACAAGCAGUGGGAGCACCUUCGGGUGUGACUGCGUACCUUUUGUAUAAUGGGUCAGCGACUUAUAUUCUGUAGCAAGGUUAACCGUAUAGGGGAGCCGCAGGGAAACCGAGUCUUAACUGGGCGUUAAGUUGCAGGGUAUAGACCCGAAACCCGGUGAUCUAGCCAUGGGCAGGUUGAAGGUUGGGUAACACUAACUGGAGGACCGAACCGACUAAUGUUGAAAAAUUAGCGGAUGACUUGUGGCUGGGGGUGAAAGGCCAAUCAAACCGGGAGAUAGCUGGUUCUCCCCGAAAGCUAUUUAGGUAGCGCCUCGUGAACUCAUCUUCGGGGGUAGAGCACUGUUUCGGCUAGGGGGUCAUCCCGACUUACCAACCCGAUGCAAACUACGAAUACCGAAGAAUGUUAUCACGGGAGACACACGGCGGGUGCUAACGUCCGUCGUGAAGAGGGAAACAACCCAGACCGCCAGCUAAGGUCCCAAAGUCAUGGUUAAGUGGGAAACGAUGUGGGAAGGCACAGACAGCCAGGAUGUUGGCUUAGAAGCAGCCAUCAUUUAAAGAAAGCGUAAUAGCUCACUGGUCGAGUCGGCCUGCGCGGAAGAUGUAACGGGGCUAAACCAUGCACCGAAGCUGCGGCAGCGACACUAUGUGUUGUUGGGUAGGGGAGCGUUCUGUAAGCCUGCGAAGGUGUGCUGUGAGGCAUGCUGGAGGUAUCAGAAGUGCGAAUGCUGACAUAAGUAACGAUAAAGCGGGUGAAAAGCCCGCUCGCCGGAAGACCAAGGGUUCCUGUCCAACGUUAAUCGGGGCAGGGUGAGUCGACCCCUAAGGCGAGGCCGAAAGGCGUAGUCGAUGGGAAACAGGUUAAUAUUCCUGUACUUGGUGUUACUGCGAAGGGGGGACGGAGAAGGCUAUGUUAGCCGGGCGACGGUUGUCCCGGUUUAAGCAUGUAGGCUGAUUGUCCAGGCAAAUCCGGAUAAUCAAGGCUGAGGUGUGAUGACGAGGCACUACGGUGCUGAAGUAACAAAUGCCCUGCUUCCAGGAAAAGCCUCUAAGCAUCAGGUAACAUUAAAUCGUACCCCAAACCGACACAGGUGGUCAGGUAGAGAAUACCAAGGCGCUUGAGAGAACUCGGGUGAAGGAACUAGGCAAAAUGGUGCCGUAACUUCGGGAGAAGGCACGCUGGUGUGUAGGUGAAGCCCCUGCGGGUGGAGCUGAGACCAGUCGAAGAUACCAGCUGGCUGCAACUGUUUAUUAAAAACACAGCACUGUGCAAACACGAAAGUGGACGUAUACGGUGUGACGCCUGCCCGGUGCCGGAAGGUUAAUUGAUGGGGUUAUCCGUAAGGAGAAGCUCUUGAUCGAAGCCCCGGUAAACGGCGGCCGUAACUAUAACGGUCCUAAGGUAGCGAAAUUCCUUGUCGGGUAAGUUCCGACCUGCACGAAUGGCGUAAUGAUGGCCAGGCUGUCUCCACCCGAGACUCAGUGAAAUUGAACUCGCUGUGAAGAUGCAGUGUACCCGCGGCAAGACGGAAAGACCCCGUGAACCUUUACUAUAGCUUGACACUGAACAUUGAGCCUUGAUGUGUAGGAUAGGUGGGAGGCUUUGAAGCGUGGACGCCAGUCUGCGUGGAGCCAACCUUGAAAUACCACCCUUUAAUGUUUGAUGUUCUAACGUUGGCCCCUGACCGGGGUUGCGGACAGUGUCUGGUGGGUAGUUUGACUGGGGCGGUCUCCUCCCAAAGCGUAACGGAGGAGCACGAAGGUUAGCUAAUCCUGGUCGGACAUCAGGAGGUUAGUGCAAUGGCAUAAGCUAGCUUGACUGCGAGCGUGACGGCGCGAGCAGGUGCGAAAGCAGGUCAUAGUGAUCCGGUGGUUCUGAAUGGAAGGGCCAUCGCUCAACGGAUAAAAGGUACUCCGGGGAUAACAGGCUGAUACCGCCCAAGAGUUCAUAUCGACGGCGGUGUUUGGCACCUCGAUGUCGGCUCAUCACAUCCUGGGGCUGAAGUAGGUCCCAAGGGUAUGGCUGUUCGCCAUUUAAAGUGGUACGCGAGCUGGGUUUAGAACGUCGUGAGACAGUUCGGUCCCUAUCUGCCGUGGGCGCUGGAGAAUUGAGGGGGGCUGCUCCUAGUACGAGAGGACCGGAGUGGACGCAUCACUGGUGUUCGGGUUGUCAUGCCAAUGGCACUGCCCGGUAGCUAAAUGCGGAAGAGAUAAGUGCUGAAAGCAUCUAAGCACGAAACUUGCCCCGAGAUGAGUUCUCCCUGAGACUUUAAGUCUCCUGAAGGAACGUUAAAGACGAUGACGUUGAUAGGCCGGGUGUGUAAGCGCAGCGAUGCGUUGAGCUAACCGGUACUAAUGAACCGUGAGGCUUAACCUUACAACGCCGAAG
rnacentral:rRNA from 1 species